CAUGUGGUAAAGGACAAACUACCCUGAGUCUGGUCCUGUGGUGAGUUUCUGCAGGGUGAGUCCCUUGCAUGAGCUUCUGUGUCAGAAGGAUGUUUGCUGCCCUGAGAUGGAAUUGAAGACCAAAAAAUUCCUUAUUUCAGCCUCAACUGAGUGAUUUGGCAGACAACCUAAGAGGUGUGCAUACCCAAGGACACAGAGUAGGGGCAGCAAGUGGAAUCAAAACACAGCUGCUCAGCUGCUCCCACAAGAGGGCUUGGCUAUGUGUGUCCUGCAGCAUGGAUGAACAGAGGUGUUUUGAAUUUCUCCUCCACCUGAGAUCCACAUUCUUGAGAAGUGGUUUAUCAUCAGGACCCACCAAUGUGCCAGCCUGACUGCCCCAGGCCACAUCUCUCACAUAGACUCUUCAUACCUUGUGUACAACCAGUGACUCUUGGCGGAGUCAAUGCUGUCAACCUCACCUGUUAAUGCCAGAAACCAUGUCCCACCAGAAAUAAUCAGAAAAUACAAGGACCUUGUGAACUCAGCUUGCCUGCAGGAGUUUGAAUUCCUUAUGCAUCACAUGUGAUGGCAGAACCAAUUCUAACUGAAUUGCUGAAGUACAGCCACAGUGACAUUUAAGAACCGCCAAACACAUUAACAAUUGCAGUUGAAGACCAGCAAUUUUACUCUGCACUCCACCCAAGAAACUGGAACAGCACUAUUUGCAGUCAUGAUUAUUCUUAGCUAAGUUGCCAUGGAACAAAGCCUGGUUAAUCCUAAUGGACUGAUUCAGGAACAAUCUCUUUUUCUAAUCUUAUUGCCUAAUUCUCUAUCACUCCCUUUAGAUUAGUAUUUAUUUAAGACACAAGAGGAGCAACAUUUCAA
rnacentral:lncRNA from 1 species